AAACAAAUAUGAAAACAAAAAACAUAAGCAAAUUCGCCAUGAUCCUAGUUUCACCAUUUCUGCCAUUCUUCUCUCCCAUUUCUUUCAUUUUCUCCCUUUUCUUUCG
rnacentral:ribozyme from 12 species